rnacentral:SRP_RNA from 1 species
GCCGGGCAUGGUGGCGCGUGCCUGUAGUCCUAGCUACUAGGGAGGCUGAGGCAGGAGAAUCGCUUGAACCUGGGAGGUGGAGGUUGUGGUGAGCCGAGAUCGCGCCACUGCACUCUAGCCUGGGCAACAGAGUGAGACUCUGUCUCAA